CACAUCCAUAGUUCACAAUUUAUUAAAACAAGUCCCAAUAUCACAAACACAAUAAAUAAGACACGUUCCAUUAGACCGCUCCAGGGGUAUCCUGAAGUCCUCCCUACCCCACCUGUGGAUCCUCUGAAGUGAUAUCUGCAUCUAAAAAGAUGUCAAAAGGAAGGGGUGAGCAUUUCCACAUUACUUAGUAGGGUGCUUAAUACCCAAAGGGUUAAUGGGGAUUACUAAGUUUCAAAGAAUACAAAAGAAACAAUUCAACAGUAUUAAUCAAGUCACAUAAUUUAAUAUAUAAUAUUAUACACGAUUCCACAACAUUCAACCAUUAAAUGAAUACAUAUGAACGUGUGACACAUAGUCAUAGAAUGCACUAUCGUUUUCGGGCUUUCACCGAAGGAUACGCGUUUGCACCCAAAUACACUCCCCAUUCGGAGUUUUCCCGGGGUAAACUUUUGGGUCUUUCACCCUAGAGAUCUCUCUCCCUUCUUAAUUCACCUCACACGGGCUUUCAUUUUUCAUCACUAUUUCAUUUUUUUUCCAUUUCAUACACAUGUCACAAUUUUUAUCCUUUCUUCACACAACCAUGAUGCAAAUGAAUGCCACAAUUCUAAAAUUUCUCAAUAAUUUCAACAAUUCCAACAUUCCCUAUAAUCCAAUAAAAUAAAUUUUCCACAUUAAAAUUUCCGACAAUAUCCCAACAAAUUUUCAAAAAUUCACAUAUCAAUAAACUUCAAAUUAUACCACACUUUCGGAAUUUUCCAAUAAUUCUAAUAAUUUCCAAUAUUCGAAAAUAAUUAAUUUUCCACAAUUAAAUUACCGAAAAUAUUCCAACUAAUUCUCAAAAAUUCACAUAUCACUACAUUUGAAAUUGUACCCUAAUUUUGGGAUUUUCCCACACUUUUAAUAAUUUUUAACAACCCAAAACAAUUAUUUAUCAACCAAAAAGAAUUCCCGAAAUUAUAAAAAAAUCCAAAAAAAAUUCAAAAUCAUUCAAAAAAAUUCCUACAACACCAAUAUUAUCUACUUAACUCAUAAUGACAAGAUUUAUAAUUUUUUUUCAAUGAAAAACACAUUUAAUUAAAGUUUUAGAAAUAGGUUCACCUACCACAGAUCUAAGAAUUUGACCGUUAAAAUCACGAUCGGCCAUCGUAGAAUCGUUCCUCUUGUCGAGUAGAACACCUCCUCAAAAUUUGAGUUGAAACGGAAGUCGUUUGGUCGUCCAAACGACCGAUCAAAGUUUCGGCGACAAGAACAAUGAGUCUCCUCUACCACUUUCU
rnacentral:lncRNA from 1 species